ensembl:lincRNA
CUAAAAUAAAGAGAGGUUAUCCGUGCAAGCUUGGGAAAGUGUGUUUGGAGGUGACUUCUGAGCUGGGCUUUAAGAGAAGAGAAGUUCAACAGGCCAACAAGGAAGACAGUGGGCUUUCCAGGUAGAACAAAGAAGGUCCUUGAAACGGGAGCAGUCAGAUGUGCUCAGGAAUGGCUGGAUGUUCAGAGGGAGAGGAGGCUGGUGGGAGAUGAGGCCAAGGAGGUCAGCAGGAACCAGAACAAGGAGCUCAGGCUUUGUGUCAUUGGCUAUGGGAGCCAGAGCCCUUCCCAGGGACCCACACUCCCAGGCCCAGAAAGUUCUCCAAGGUGAGACCCAUCUUAGACCCAGUCAACCUGAGCUGAGAAAGACAAAGAAUAUCAAGAGGUUCCUAAUAAUGCUGGACAACUUCCAGUUUGGAAAUGACCAACUCCCCGGGUGAUGUCUAAUCACAUUGUCCAAAUGCUACGACAACAACUUCUUGAGAAACAUCCACAAACUCAGGUGAUCUUACGCCUGAGUGAAGAAUAUAAUUGUUACUCUAAAAUAUAUUUGGCGUGUUAAAAUUAUAUGGU